GGGUGACUGCGUACCUUUUGUAUAAUGGGUCAGCGACUUAUAUUCUGUAGCAAGGUUAACCGAAUAGGGGAGCCGUAGGGAAACCGAGUCUUAACUGGGCGAAUGAGUUGCAGGGUAUAGACCCGAAACCCGGUGAUCUAGCCAUGGGCAGGUUGAAGGUUGGGUAACACUAACUGGAGGACCGAACCGACUAAUGUUGAAAAAUUAGCGGAUGACUUGUGGCUGGGGGUGAAAGGCCAAUCAAACCGGGAGAUAGCUGGUUCUCCCCGAAAGCUAUUUAGGUAGCGCCUCGUGAACUCAUCUUCGGGGGUAGAGCACUGUUUCGGCUAGGGGGUCAUCCCGACUUACCAACCCGAUGCAAACUACGAAUACCGAAGAAUGUUAUCACGGGAGACACACGGCGGGUGCUAACGUUCGUCGUGAAGAGGGAAACAACCCAGACCGCCAGCUAAGGUCCCAAAGUCAUGGUUAAGUGGGAAACGAAGUGGGAAGGCUCAGACAGCCAGGAUGUUGGCUUAGAAGCAGCCAUCAUUUAAAGAAAGCGUAAUAGCUCACUGGUCGAGUCGGCCUGCGCGGAAGAUGUAACGGGGCUAAACCAUGCACCGAAGCUGCGGCAGCGACAUGUAAAUGUUGUUGGGUAGGGGAGCGUUCUGUAAGCCUGUGAAGGUGUGCUGCGAGGCAUGCUGGAGGUAUCAGAAGUGCGAAUGCUGACAUAAGUAACGAUAAUGCGGGUGAAAAACCCGCACGCCGGAAGACCAAGGGUUCCUGUCCAACGUUAAUCGGGGCAGGGUGAGUCGACCCCUAAGGCGAGGCAGAAAUGCGUAGUCGAUGGGAAACAGGUUAAUAUUCCUGUACUGGUGAUAAUUGCGAUGGGGGGACGGAGAAGGCUAGGCUGGCCGGGCGACGGUUGUCCCGGUUUAAGGAUGUAGGUGGGCGAAUUAGGCAAAUCCGGUUCGCUAUACACUGAGGUCUGAUGACGAGUCACUACGGUGGCGAAGUAGCUCAUGCCCCGCUUCCAGGAAAAGCCUCUAAGCUCUAGAUUAUCAUUAAUCGUACCCCAAACCGACACAGGUGGUCAGGUAGAGAAUACUCAGGCGCUUGAGAGAACUCGGGUGAAGGAACUAGGCAAAAUGGUGCCGUAACUUCGGGAGAAGGCACGCUGGCACUAGGUGAAGUCCCUUGCGGAUGGAGCUGAAGCCAGUCGCAGAUACCAGCUGGCUGCAACUGUUUAUUAAAAACACAGCACUGUGCAAACACGAAAGUGGACGUAUACGGUGUGACGCCUGCCCGGUGCUGGAAGGUUAAUUGAUGGGGUUAUCCGUAAGGAGAAGCUCUUGAUCGAAGCCCCAGUAAACGGCGGCCGUAACUAUAACGGUCCUAAGGUAGCGAAAUUCCUUGUCGGGUAAGUUCCGACCUGCACGAAUGGCGUAAUGAUGGCCAGGCUGUCUCCACCCGAGACUCAGUGAAAUUGAACUCGCUGUGAAGAUGCAGUGUACCCGCGGCAAGACGGAAAGACCCCGUGAACCUUUACUAUAGCUUGACACUGAACAUUGAGCCUUGAUGUGUAGGAUAGGUGGGAGGCUUUGAAGUGUGGACGCCAGUCUGCAUGGAGCCAACCUUGAAAUACCACCCUUUAAUGUUUGAUGUUCUAACGUAGCCCCAUAAUCUGGGGUGCGGACAGUGUCUGGUGGGUAGUUUGACUGGGGCGGUCUCCUCCCAAAGCGUAACGGAGGAGCACGAAGGUUGGCUAAGCAUGGUCGGACAUCAUGCGGUUAGUGCAAAGGCAUAAGCCAGCUUGACUGCGAGAGUGACGGCUCGAGCAGGUACGAAAGUAGGUCUUAGUGAUCCGGUGGUUCUGAAUGGAAGGGCCAUCGCUCAACGGAUAAAAGGUACUCCGGGGAUAACAGGCUGAUACCGCCCAAGAGUUCAUAUCGACGGCGGUGUUUGGCACCUCGAUGUCGGCUCAUCACAUCCUGGGGCUGAAGUAGGUCCCAAGGGUAUGGCUGUUCGCCAUUUAAAGUGGUACGCGAGCUGGGUUUAGAACGUCGUGAGACAGUUCGGUCCCUAUCUGCCGUGGGCGUUGGAAGAUUGAAAGGGGCUGCUCCUAGUACGAGAGGACCGGAGUGGACGCACCGCUGGUGUUCGGGUUGUCAUGCCAAUGGCACUGCCCGGUAGCUAAGUGCGGAAGAGAUAACCGCUGAAAGCAUCUAAGCGGGAAACUUGCCUUGAGAUGAGUCUUCCCUGACUCUUUAAGGGUCCUAAAGGAACGUUUAAGACGAAGACGUUGAUAGGCUGGGUGUGUAAGCGUAGCGAUACGUUGAGCUAACCAGUACUAAUGAACCGUGAGGCUUAACCUGACAACACCGAAGGUGUUUUAG
rnacentral:rRNA from 1 species